rnacentral:misc_RNA from 1 species
UAUCUUUUGAACACUGCUGGAUGGAGAUUUAUUAUUCCUCAAUUGUACAGGAAAUAUCCGAAUGAUGACAUGAAUUUAAAUCUGUCUUUAUCUUCUCCUCCAAUCGUAAAGAUUUUAGAAAAUGAUAUUGAUGCAACUGUUUAUGCGGAAUUAAUAAUUGAUGUUUUGGAAGCAGACCUUGUAAUACCAGUUGCAUGCAUUUCACUGGAUAUUUAUGGCUCAGGUUCAGUUAAGAUCUCAGGGAAUACACUUGGGGGCAGCUUGAAAUUAAAGGACUUUUCAAUGUCAUUGAAAUGGAGCCAUAUUGGUAAUCUUCGGUUGUAUCUUAUUCAGCCAGUGAUAUGGACUCUUAUCCAAACUGUUUUCUUGCCAUAUGCAAAUGUACACCUCGCACAAGGUUUCCCAUUGCCAAUUGUUCAUGGUUUCACCCUAAAGAAUGCUGAAAUAAUUUGUUCAAGAUCAAAAAUUACAGUUUGCAGUGAUGUGGAAUUCACGGAGUCUCAGGGUCUGAAUCAGAUUAUGUUCAACUAAUAUGUUACCGUCUGAAGUCUGAUAGGGAUGCACACCAAGAUCCAGAAAGCACAGGCAGAUGUCCGAGUCUCUUGUUGAUUCAUAUGUGUAAGGCACAGACAGCUAAACCCAUUCCCCACGCGAAUGUACAAAUUGUGAAAUGCCAUACC